rnacentral:ribozyme from 1 species
AGAGGUUGCAAGGUCGAGGCCAUAGCAGAAGCGCUUCCGGCAUGGCCCUGUCAGAUUUCAACGAAUCUGUGAAUUCUGCU